UAAUAAGUGCCCGUACCGAUAACCGACACAGGUAGGCGAGGAGAGAAUCCUAAGAUGAGCGAGAGAACUCUUGUUAAGGAACUCGGCAAAAUGACCCCGUAACUUCGGGAGAAGGGGUGCUUGUGAAAGCAAGCCGCAGUGAAUAGGCCCAGGCGACUGUUUAUCAAAAACACAGGUCUCUGCUAAACCGCAAGGUGAUGUAUAGGGGCUGACGCCUGCCCGGUGCUGGAAGGUUAAGAGGAGAGGUUAGCGCAAGCGAAGCUUUGAAUUGAAGCCCCAGUAAACGGCGGCCGUAACAAUAACGGUCCUAAGGUUGCGAAAUUCCUUGUCGGGUAAGUUCCGACCCGCACGAAAGGCGUAACGAUCUGGGCGCUGUCUCAACAAGAGACUCGGUGAAAUCAUAGUACCUGUGAAGAUGCAGGUUACCCGCGACAGGACGGGAAGACCCCGUGGAGCUUUACUGUAGCUUGAUAUUGAGCACUGGUGGCACAUGUACAGGAUAGGUAGGAGACGAAGAAACCAGGACGCCAGUCUUGGUGGAGUCGCUGUUGGGAUACUACCCUUGUGUCACUGGGGUUCUAACCCGUGGCCCUUAUCGGGUCAGGGAACAGUGUCAGGUGGGCAGUUUGACUGGGGCGGUCGCCUCCCAAAGAGUAACGGAGGCGCCCAAAGGUUCCCUCAGAAUGGUUGGAAAUCAUUCGAAGAGUGUAAAGGCAGAAGGGAGCUUGACUGCGAGACCUACAAGUCGAGCAGGGACGAAAGUCGGGCUUAGUGAUCCGGCGGUACCGAAUGGAAGGGCCGUCGCUCAACGGAUAAAAGCUACCCCGGGGAUAACAGGCUGAUCUCCCCCAAGAGUUCACAUCGACGGGGAGGUUUGGCACCUCGAUGUCGGCUCAUCGCAUCCUGGGGCUGUAGUCGGUCCCAAGGGUUGGGCUGUUCGCCCAUUAAAGCGGUACGCGAGCUGGGUUCAGAACGUCGUGAGACAGUUCGGUCCCUAUCCGUCGUGGGCGUAGGAAAUUUGAGAGGAGCUGUCCUUAGUACGAGAGGACCGGGAUGGACACACCGCUGGUGUACCAGUUGUUCUGCCAGGAGCAUAGCUGGGUAGCUACGUGUGGACGGGAUAAACGCUGAAAGCAUCUAAGCGUGAAGCCCCCCUCAAGAUGAGAUUUCCCAUUCGAAAGAAGUAAGAUCCCUUGAAGACGACGAGGUUGAUAGGUCAGGAGUGGAAGUGUGGUGACACAUGGAGCGGACUGAUACUAAUCGAUCGAGGACUUAAUC
rnacentral:rRNA from 1 species